rnacentral:misc_RNA from 1 species
UUUCCGUAGGUGAACCUGCGGAAGGAUCAUUACAGAGUUCAUGCCCUCACGGGUAGAUCUCCCACCCUUGAAUAUUUAUACCUUAGUUGCCUUGGCAGGCCGUGGAAACACCAUGGGCUCCGGCUUAUGCGUGCCUGCCAGAAGAAACAAACUCUGUUUUUAGUGAUGUCUGAGUACUAUAUAAUAGUUAAAACUUUCAACAACGGAUCUCUUGGUUCUG